rnacentral:tRNA from 1 species
GGAUGGCUGGCCGAGCGGCUUAAGGCGGUAGUCUUGAAAACUAUUGUGGGGAAACUCACCCGGGGUUCGAAUCCCUGGCCAUCCGCCA